GUGUGAGCCGUCGAUCGUCUGAAGGAUUUCAGUAAGAGCUGCUCAUGUUUCCACCGCUGAACCACAUCCUGGGGGCCCAUUUCUGCAGCCAGAGGUUCUGCACGGUGCUCAACAGGCUGAUGGGGAUCGACUUCACUGCGGCUCUUGGGACUCUGCAGAUCAUGGUGGGUCUGUUCAACAUCAGCCUGGGUCCGGGACGAACGAGCACGCACCCUGAGGACCUGACUGACCUGGGAGCAGCCUACUGGCUGGGUGCUGUGUUCGUCACCUCUGGAAUAGUUUCCCUUGUGUUCAAUCGUUGUUGCUGGCUCUCGGCUAUCGUGAACAUAGUGGCGGCCAUUUUCUCCAUCGUUGGCAUUGUGCUGUACGUCACCGACCUGAACGGACCUCCAGUUUACUCCAUGUGUAACCAGACCAGCAGCGCCGUUGAUGUUUAUGAUCACGACUGUUUCCUCGUGGCACAGUUCGCCCAGAAGCUGUUGAGGGACCUGGACAUCGCUUUAGCCGUGAUGAGUGCGCUCCAGCUGUGGGCCAGCAGCAGCGUGGCUCUGUCUCACAUCGUGGCUUCAGGCGCCUGGGAGGAGGGAGCGGUUGGAGAAAAGGAGUUGAUGAAGGAAGUCGUGUCCAGUCCUGGUGCUUAAGUCAUUGUCAUGUAUGCAAUGACUUAACAGCAUUUUAUUUCAAACUGCCUGCUUGUUUCUGCAUCAGUUUUACUUCUGUUGCUCUAAAUAUGAACUGUCUGAUUCAACACAUAUAAAAUGUUAUGGAAAUAAAACAUCUCAUCUCUCUGUACUGGUCA
rnacentral:lncRNA from 1 species